GCUUGGAAUAGCUCAGUUGGUAGAGCAUGGGGCUCUUAAUUUCAGGGUUGUAGGUUUGAGCCCCAUGCUGGGCA